rnacentral:misc_RNA from 1 species
ACACGCUCCAAUCGAUAAUUUUUCUUUGUACACUUCCGACCAUUUUUCACGAUUUGUGCGGGGUUUCUUCUGGAAAAUUUGUUGAAAAUUGCUGAAAACGCAAUUCAGCUUUGUGCAUACCGAAAAAUUUAAUUUCACACGGCGUUUCUAUAUUCGCUGCAAGGUUGAAAAAAUUUCACACUUUGUCUCUGAUAUUGAUAUAAUUAUCGAAUUGCAGGUCAUCUUGAUAGGGGAGAAUUGCUUAUAAUGGCUAAUAAUAAUUACGCUGGUUUCAGUUAUGGUGGUACCCAGUAUACUUCCACCGGUACCGGCUAUAACCCAGGGCAGGUGGCUUACCCUGCCGUAACCAACGCAACGUACGCAAAUGCUGCAGCUUACCAAACUGCUGCAGUUGCUGGUCAAAGUGGUUAUGCAGCUGCAGGCGCUUCUGGAGCUAGCGGCUAUGCAGGCUACGGCGAUUACAGUCGUUCUAUGCCUGCAUAUGACGCCUCAAAAACGUUUUAUCAACAAGCGCCAGCUAGCUACAACACUGCACCAGCGGCUACGGUUAGUAAGACUCAUUAUUCGGCUCCCCCUGUUAAAAAUGUAAAUGCCGGGGCAAAAGCUGCCGGAGCGAAAGAUAAAGCAGUUAAAGUAGCAGCAGCUCCAGCCGCUACUACUACUGGCGCUGUUAAUGCUUACAGUAAUUAUGAGUCUGCACUGUAUAGUGCCGCUUCAAUGUAUGUUGCUCAACAGCAACAUCAAACGGGCACUGUUAAGCCGAAUACUAAUGGGGCUUCAACCCCUGGCUGGCAGUAUCGCGCCCAGAAAGGUGCUGGAGCUGGCGGUGCAAAUGCAGCUCGCCCACGUACUAAGCCUCCGCCGCGUCCGCAGCAGUUACACUACUGCGAAGUAUGCAAAAUUUCAUGUGCAGGCCCACAAACUUAUCGUGAACAUUUGGAAGGCCAAAAGCACAAGAAGAGAGAGGCAUCCUUGAAAAUGCAAGCUUCGGCUCAAUCUGCUGCUCAAAAUCGCGGUAACAACUACCACUGCGAACUGUGUGAUGUAACAUGCACCGGAACAGAUGCUUAUGCUGCUCAUGUACGCGGCGCAAAGCAUCAGAAGGUCGUUAAACUCCACCAAAAACUUGGUAAACCAAUACCACCCGAUGAGCCAAAGAAGUUAUCUAAAAUAAAUUUCGUACCAGCCAGUGGAACCACUGAGAAAGCAAAACCCACAGAAGGAGAAAAUACAACCGCUGCAGAUAAUGAUAACCAUGAUGAUGUUGCUGGUGGUGAAGAAAACACUGAUAAUAUUAAACCAGUUGGAGGCGAGUAUAUUGAGGAAAUAAAAGAUGAUGAGGGCAAGAUUUUGAGCUUUAAUUGUAAGCUAUGUGAUUGCAAAUUCAAUGAUCCUAAUGCAAAAGAAAUGCACAUGAAGGGGCGUCGACACCGUCUACAAUACAAACGAAAAGUUCAACCAGACUUAGUUGUCGAUUUUAAACCGACACCACGUCAAAGGCGUCUGGCAGAAGCGCGUGCUCAGCGCGCUCUAAUUCAAUCACAUCGCGGUGGUAAUGUAAGUUUCGGCGAUGAUCAUGAAAGCGGCGGUGGAAUGUAUUGGGAUGAACAGCGUCGUCGGGCACAGUACGAUGACGAGUACGAUUACAGUAAUUGGUUGGCACGCAGCUUUGCAGGUGCUCAGCGUGGCUUUGGCGGUCGCAUGGGUAAUGGUCCACCACCAUUCUUUGGUAUGAUGCCUGGUGGUGGCGGAAAUAUACGCCGUCCAGAGAGUACUGAUGAUCGUCACGCUAUUGCACGCCAUGCUGAGAUCUAUCCUAAAGAGGAAGAGUUGCAAACUAUUCAACGUAUUGUAUCGCAUACUGAACGUGCACUGAAGUUUGUCUCCGACAAAUUUGCUGAAAAUCCAGAUGAAAAGGGACCAGCAAACAAAAAAGAAAAGCAAGAUAGUGCCCAAGUAAAGGAUGGUCGCGAUAAUCAAAUGUUGUCAUUCCAAAAAGAGGCUGACAGUGGCAAUGUACGCAUUCUGAAGGGUGUUAUGCGUGUUGGAUUUUUGGCCAAAGGCCUUUUAUUGCAGGGCGAUAAUUCCGUAGAAUUGGUGGUUUUAUGCUCUGAAAAGCCAACUGUUGGACUACUAAAACGUGUGGCUGCUGAGUUGCCAGCUAAACUAAAGGAAGUAGCAGCUCUCCACGGAAUAUACAUGCCAUUGAGAUUGGUAUUUCAGUUUUGUGAACAGGACAUUCGACUUCACUCUACUUCACUUUUCUUAUGGUGCGGGUACGCGUCCGGGUACUCCUCCUUCAUAGUAUCUUUCUUUUUCGCGCUGUUUGUUGCUGGACUGGAACUUGAACGGCGAAAAUCCCGUCGAUUAUGUCGUCGAAGUGGUGGCUCAAGAGUCCGCCGUUUUUGUGCGUGAUGAUGUGGUAUCCGUAAAGAUAUCACUUACUUCGCCUCUAUUGCGUGAAGUUUCUCAAGAUGGUAAAACUGAUGCCGCUAAUACUAAAGGCGGUACUGGUGAUGCUGCACCUUUGCCACGAGAACCGUGUCUCAGGGCUUUAGCCGAGUUGCGUCAUGC